rnacentral:rRNA from 1 species
GAUGAACGCUGGCGGCGUGCCUAAUACAUGCAAGUCGAGCGAACGGACGAGAAGCUUGCUUCUCUGAUGUUAGCGGCGGACGGGUGAGUAACACGUGGAUAACCUACCUAUAAGACUGGGAUAACUUCGGGAAACCGGAGCUAAUACCGGAUAAUAUUUUGAACCGCAUGGUUCAAAAGUGAAAGACGGUCUUGCUGUCACUUAUAGAUGGAUCCGCGCUGCAUUAGCUAGUUGGUAAGGUAACGGCUUACCAAGGCAACGAUGCAUAGCCGACCUGAGAGGGUGGUCGGCCACACUGGAACUGAGACAGGGUCCAGACUCCUACGGGAGGCAGCAGUAGGGAAUCUUACGCAAAGGGCGAAAGCCUGACGGUGCAACGCCGCGGGAGUGAUGAAGGUCUUCGGAUCGUAAAACUCUGUUAUUAGGGAAGAACAUAUGUGUAAGUAACUGUGCACAUCUUGACGGUACCUAAUCAAAAAGCCACGGCUAACUACGUG